rnacentral:lncRNA from 1 species
AAGGACAGACUUGUUAUGAAAAUAACAAAUGUACUCAUAAAGUUGCCAAAGAGAGUUGACGAAGAAGAGAUGAACGGAAUACAGAGCAUCUCCAGGAUAAUGCACUAUUACUAGGACAGCACAGAAGCACCCAUUUUAUACAGAAAUACUGAAUACAGACCAUGAAUAUCCCAUGAUGAAGCCCCUAAUAUUACAACGAGGAGCAAACGACACUAGAGUUGGCGCCAGUGGCGUACAAUACUUAACCCAGCCAUCAAGUAUACUUCCGAGAACUAGUCAGAGCUCGACAAAGCAACGGUGACAGACAUGAACGACAUACGAUAUAAUCAUAGAUAGACACAAUACAAUUUAUGUGAAGGCUACAGCUUAUAGCUCGUAGAUAGUGGAAUUUAUUCAACUUAAACGCGUAAAUAGGGCAGGCUGGGCACUUGCUACAGCGCAGCACAUACCUCAGGCAACAGCGACGGCAAAUUAUAUUUGGGCAACUAGGGGUUAUUAUAUCUUGGCCUUUUCUCUUCCCUUGCAACUCACCUUGCUGUCGGCUGGCCGGGUAGCAUCGGAAUUGGCACUGGCAUCGGCAUUGUCAUAGCUGUAAUAUAUUUGAUUCUACUUGAACAUCCACUGCUAUGUAAAUUUUCUUGUAUCUAUUCCCUUGUAUGUGUCACCCAUUACUGCUGAUAAUAUAUUCCAAUGACCCUUUCCUAGCUCCCACUACACAUAGUUAUCAAUGAGCUGUCUUAGUCUGUGCUUAUAUUUUUAUUACGAACAGUCAUCGGUCUGCUGGUAAACUGAAACAGCAAACAUGAACAAGUUCUCUCCUAGUCUGUGCUUAUAUUUUCAUUAAGCAAAGUUCAUCGGUAUGCUGGUAAACAGAAAAGCAAACAUGAACAAGUUCUCUCCUCAUUGUUCUUCUGACGUGAACAACUUCCCUACUCAUUAAUAUUCUGGCUCAACAGUCUCUGCACACAAUCUUGUCUUGUCUUAUUUUCUUGAAGGCAUAUGAAGGAUCUCUGCACUUUGCCAAUCUUCUUAAAUGAACCGUGAAAUGAUCUCCUUCCUCCAGGAGGUGACGUGGUUCACAGCAUCCAUACUUUUGCGUUAAGUUGAGAGUAAACCAGCAGCUCUUCGCAAGCAGGGACAUAAAUCAGCUGAAAUCUUUAAGAGAGUGCAAAUACAAUUGCACACUGAUCAGGCCACCAAUGGUUGAAUGAUUUUGACUCUUGAUCUCCUAUCUCAAAUCCAGUUGAAAUAUUUCCCAUUUAUUGUCUUAGUCAUAUUUUCUUGACAAGAAAAGGUAUGAAGGAUAUCUGCACUUCAAGUUUCUUGAAUGAUCCAUGAAAAGAUAUUUAUCCAGGUGGUAAGAGCAAUCCAGACGCUCUUUGCAAGCACGGACAUAAAUCAGCUGAAAUCGUUAAGAGAGUGCAAAAACAAUUGCAUGCUGAUGAGGCCACCAAUGGUUUGACUGAUUUCGACUCAUGCUCUCAUACCUCAAAUACAGUUGAAAUAUUUUCCGUUCGUUGAUCAAAUUUCCAGUGGCCACAUGUUCAAUCUAAAGUUCCUGUGGAGUCAUGGUUUGUCAACUUGCGGUUAGUCACGACAAUUCACUGUUCUCACACAAAUUCAAGGAAACUAUCUGCAGUUUCCACACCACCUCUGUACCAAAGGGAUCAUCCACUUUCGCAGACUAUGGCUUUUCUCUGGUUUCUUCUCUACUCACUCAGCAUCUGUUCCCCUACCCUCCUCCUGAUGCAAAUAGAGCCCUUACACAAUUGCAAUACACUCCACUUACCUCAAGCUGUCGAGACACGCCCAAUUUGAUGGUCCAAUCAGGAACUAUAAUCAACACAAACUCACUUCUCAACAGGGCACGCAAUUAUUAAUUUGAUCAACAAGCACAUCAUCAAACUGGACAGAUCUCAUCUGCCGGUGGCCAAAUUCCAGAUCUGCUAAUCCGAGCACGCCGGCAAGCCAAAGCAGACCAUGUGACAUCAAGCCGGCAAAAAAAGGGAAGAAAAACAGCCAAGAUACAGGAACGACCUAAUAGUUUGCCCCCAGAUCUAACGCCCGACGCCGCUGUUAGCACCGAAGCACGUACCUCGCGGCAGCCAGCGCCCAGCCGCCGUCUAAUAUAGCCACUAGUUGGCGACGUCCCCGCGCUCGGCGGCGGCCGACGCGUCCUGCAGCUGCUGGUACGGCUUGUCGUCGUGGACGAAGAAGACGUAGAAGCCGCCGCAGGUGGUGGCGGCGGCCAUCGCCCAGACCAGGAGCUUGACGGCGAGCGGCAUGACCUCGGCGACCUUGUAGGUGAACAUGACGGUGAGCAGCGUGGUGAGCGCCCAGACGGCGGCCUUGAUCCGCUCCCGGCGGGGGGAGUGGCGGUCGAGGCGCUCGUAGAGGCGCAGGCAGGCGAAGAGGGCCACGAGGUCGAGGUAGGAGACGGCGACGAAGAUGACGGACCCGGCGUCGCCGUUGGAGCGGUACACGGCCAUGCCGGAGUUGAAGGUCAGGAAGACGAACCCUAGCGCCGUGAGCCACGAUAACUCUGCCAUCGCUGGUGCCGCUGCGGAUCCGUGCUGCUACCUGCGACGGAUAAGAGACGAGUCAGGGUGGAUUUAAAGGGGGCGGAGAAACGGAGAAGCCGCGACCGGCCGCGGAAUCGCCGAAGGGGGGAAAAAGAUUGGAAAGAGGAACGCACCUGAUUAUUUAUGGUUGGUGGAGACUGACGAUGAACUACGCGUCUGGAGAGCACAAGGGUUUGGGUCUUAACGUGUUUCUUUGGGUCGCUGUCGUGAGAGAUGGUGUGUCCACCGAUGUACCGAAAGCGUGUCUCGUGCACUAGACUCUUCUUUUUUCUUGUGAAGUACGUGUACGUUCUUUUUUCUGAAAAAUAUUCAGAUCUAGGAGUAUUAUAAAAAAUUCAUCAGAACCACGUACAAAACACCUCAAACACAAUAAAAAUUAAAGAGAAAUUCAUAUUACAACUCUGAAUUACCAUAUAAGAUACAACACCAAACUCCAAAGUCUUCUACUUCAUAACAUCAAACUUUCAAAAAUUGACAAGAAUUAACCCUAAACCGUUUUUGACUGGUUUCAGUCGGCCCACUAUGCCACCCUGACCUUUAACCCUGGUCAUGGGACGAGGCUUGCCUCCUCUCCCUCCUGUGCUCCCAUCCAUACUCCCGCACCAUCCAUUCUUCAUCUGACGGUUACAACAUUUUCCCUCCCUCUCGAUCCUUUUCCAGUCAAAACUAAAGCAAACAAACUCCCGUAUUUCCUUCUGCCGUGGCCCGCGCCGCUGGCACGCCCUCCCCGCACGAUCCCUUUCCAUUGAUUCAGUGCGGUAGAAACAAAAGCUAAAUACCGAGAUGAACAAAAUCAUCAUGCUACUAAGAACCAGAGCUUAAUGUUGAUGCACACAGGAAUGUGUUGCGGUGUUGCCGCAUGCCACCAAAGAAGAAAGAACACACAAAAGUUGCAUGCACCAGUCGACUAGUUGCUCAGAAGGUACAGCGACGGACGGAUCGAGGCGCCGGCGUCUCCGAUGAGUGGGCGCCAUGACGGCCACGGGAGGAGAUAGAGGCGACGACCUCGUGCUACAUCUCGGCGGCUGUGGAACUUCGUUCGGUGGUAGAGGAGGGAGAACGGGGCGGCUGACGGGAGGAGAUGAAGGCGGCAACGGGACCUUGGUCGGGGUCGCCGGGUCGGACAAUCGGCUGUCGAUCGGAACUUCGGAAGGUAUGAGGGAAGGAGACGAGAAGAAAUUACGUGCUUGAGAUGGAAUACAGACUUUUGUUUGCUUUCUUUUAGCUGAAAAAUGGUGCAGCCGCUGGAUGAGAAUUUAACUGUGCGGGAGUAUAGAUGGGAGCACGGGAGGGGAGCAGGCAAGCCUCGUCCCUAGUCAUGGGCCGGCAGUGCUAAAAAAGCCGUCAACGUGGCAGCUCCAACCGAUUGGACUCUGGCGAGGCUGAAGCUAGGCUACAUGGAGCUGGUGGGCUGGUGGGGGAUAAUUGACUCAUGGGCAUUCAGUAGGAGGCCCCUUUACGAGUCUUCCUCCUCCAAACUGACAAAAUUGACAAGAACUCCAUCCACUCAGCCACUGGAGGAGCUUCUUGGAGGCCAAAGGGGGCCACGACCGCCCCUCCAAAAGUGAAAACAAAAGUUAUUACCAUGUUUUGUCCCAUAUUCCUGUUUCUCCCCCACAAUGUUGAGAGAAUUCCUUAUUUGGCUCUUUCUUAAAUUUUGCUUUCCUUUUUGGCCCUAAAAAACAUUUUCUUCCCUUUUUGACACACAAAUUUUAUUUUGUUCCCUCCAUGACAAUUAUGGCAAUUUUGGCGACUAACACAGUGAAGUGCAACAUGAAAAGUCGCUUUUACCCCCUGCUUUAGCUCACUGGCAAAAAAAAUCCCCACCGCGCCUUCUCACCCGAGUCCACCCAAGCGCAAAAAAAAGCUGCAAGGGCCCAUAGCGUGACGUCACCACGUCGCAGGGCCCGCGUGAUUUGCAUGGUGGUUUAGCAUGGCACGAGUCUUCAAGGUCGUGGCGCCUGGGGUAGGAAAACUACCGGCCAUCACUUUCUUUCUGUACCGAAAAAAAGAGAAGAAGAUUACAGAAAAGUCGCAUUCGUAUGCGAUGCAAAACUCUCGUCUGGUCGUCUUUGUGAUCGAGUGAUUUAGCGAGUAGACCAAGGGCGUCGUCGCCGACCAGGCACUCACCUCCGGCAACACCACGCCCGCGCUUGUUGCGCAGAACGCCAACAAUAUCUACUUGUUCAUCCGCGCCGGACAGAUACGCACCAAGAUCUUCCCUUCGCUGAUUUUGAGGGAGGGGGAUGACGGGUCCGUCACGUCUCCUUGGCGACACGCUAGGUGAGUCCGCCCCACGGCGAUGGCCGGCGUGGUUCGCCGUAAACCUUCGGACGGCGACGACUCUCAGGCCAUGUCGCGGGGAGGACGUGCUCGGCUCGCACCUGGACUCGGUGGAGCUCGUGGAUGAGCGAGGGUGCACGAUGGACAGGCGGGCCAGGAGAGGGCUCGUGUUGGCCCCUGGCUCUACAAUCGUGUUCCCCUGUCAUGUCGCGUGCAUCGAGGAGGAAGACCCCGACGGGAGCGACGCCUCGAGAGCCGGCGAGGGAGGAAUUGCGGCCGGUGGGAGAGGAAAUGCGGCCGGUGGGGGAGUUAAUUCGGGCAAUACUUAUGGCCGGGUUACUCCGCUCCUUCUCGGUCCUUCACUUCCUCUCCCAGCCGUCUCGUUCACCUCUCUCCUGGUUGACGACUGCAGCGGAGAUGGUGGAGAUCAGCGAGGAGAAGUUGAGGAGGUUUGCAGGCAGGGACGCGCGCCUGCGUGCUCGCCUGAGGGAGAUCGGCUCGUGGUACACCAGCAAAAGGGAGAUGUAUGGGGAGGCGGAGGUGAUCUUCGAGGGCCUGACGGCGGCGGAGGAGCGGUCGUUGUUCGGGCAAGGUGGGCGCAAGCAUCCACUCUAGGUGCUGCUGUGGGCGAUGGAUCAGGCGGACUCGCCGGUGAGAGCUGUGGCGAGGAAGUGGGUAGCGUUAACCUCCUUCGAGACGGCGAAUCUCGCCCCGGCCAUGCGGGAGUCGACGCUCAGAUCCCGCGAGGGGUGCUGGCUCUUCCUGCUCCAGGAUCGGCCAUGGCGCCGAUCGAGAUCCGCGAAGACCCAGUGGAGCAACCACCGCAGGAGGAGGCGCGACAGAUGGAGGCGCGGAUCCCGCGACGCUCGGCUCGACUCGCCCCAACUCCGACAACACUGACCCCUCGCCGCUCGGCACGCCUCGCCGGAAUCGAUGCCUGAAGCCUUCACUAGCCCACAACCGCUUCUGGAUGUUGGCUAGCGAAGAUUCAGGUCCCGAUUCUGAUGAGGAUGAUGAUGCAGGUAAUCAUUGUGACUCCGCUCCUUCAUAUGAUCCUUCUGUCUGCAAAUAUCGCAUGCAAUUUGAGGAUGUUGAUACACAAAGCCGAAUCAGGCUUGUGAAUAGAAAAAUGAAGAAAAAAAUGAAUCGAUAUGUGCAGAGUUUACUUCUGAAGCAUGAGGGGGAUGCAGAUAGGAAGAAAAAUGAUAGGAUGUGUACCGAUUUUAGUAGGGACAUGACACAUAUUGAUUCUCCUAGUUGGGGAGAUUAUCACUGUAGUGAAAUUGAUAUGGCGCUCAUAAAAAUGAAGCCCAGAAAUCCAAUAAUCUGGGAUUAUACCAGAUUCCCUGAAUUUUUAAGUGACAUUGAACCUGAUGAUAUCAAUCCUCCCAAAAACUUAUCAAUGGUUCUAAUAGGAGAAUGGACAAGAUUGAUAAGGAAGAUAUUAGGAUUGAUAUCCCUGAGAAUUAUGCGCUGGAGGAAGUGGUUGGUGAAUUUCAGAGAGGAUGAGAGAUUCAGAGUGCUGGAAAAGAAAACAGGGAUGACAGCAGAGAAGGAGAGUGGGGGGAGAUUCGCUCUGAUAACGUGGGCUUUAAGGGCUCCUGGCCCAAUAAGGUGAGAAGUUUUGGGGGCCUAGGGAGGGGCGUGGAGGGGAUGGACAUAUAUAAAGGAGGUAUCCCACCUUUAGUUCCUGAACCUGAUUUCCUUCACCCCCAAACCCUAAAAACCUCAAGGCGGCGGCGAGCAGAGAGGCUGAGACUGAGGAAGAAGAGAUCUCCUGGGAAGAAGAAGAGAUCAUGGCCAAUAGACAAGAGAGCUGGCGCCCCAAGCCAGGGAGAGGGACAGGCUUCGGAGGGAGAGGUAAUUACUACAACAAGCCCAACAAUUCUGAGAGAGGUUUCAACAGGAUAGAUGGGAGAGAUCAAGAUAAUUUUGACUGGAGGAGUAGGGAUGGAAACUACAUAGGAGGAUCUGGGACCAACAGCAGUGGUUCUGGGGGAGAAGGGACAUCUAUGGGGAGUGGCAGGGAUCUGGAUGGCAAGGUUGGGAACUUUGGCCCAGGCAGAAUGGGGGGGGCAGCAGGAAAGAGUUCAUGUGGGGAGUGGAGAGAUGGGAUCUGGAGGUGGUUUUGCAACAGCCAAUCCUAGUGUCCCAUAGAUGGGUAUGCAGGGGGGACAGAUGCAGAUGGCAGGUGGUUUCCCUGUGAUAAAUAACUCUAGCUUCCCUCAGUUGGUACCAGUUGGAAUGGGCUUGGGACAAUUUGGGUUCAUGCCACAGGAGCAAAUGGCACAGCAAUACCAGUAUCUGCUCUCCAACAUGCCAAAACAAGAGACUUUGAAACUGCAGGGGCAACAAAAAGAUGAAGGGGAAAAAGGGGCAGCAAAGAAGAAAGAAAUAAGGAACAACAUCAAGGAACUGUUCUGUGUCAAGUGCAAAGAGCAGGGCACCUGAAGAGUGACUGCAAAAACAAAUUGUUCUGUGUGGUGUGCCAGAGAGCAUCACACAAUACUGAAGAUUGUACAGUGCUGAAACAAGCUAAACCGGUGGCCAAAUAUGUGGGAUAUGGAGCUAGGGGCCUAGGCUGCUUACUGGUGCAACACACUAAAGAUAUUGUAGCUGCUGAACAUACAAACCCCAUGGCUUUGGUGACUGUUCACUCUGGGCAGCUGAAUGAAACUACAAUUGCUUUUGGAUUCUCUAAGAUGUUUGAAUGGGGAUGGACCUGGAGAGCUAAAUUUCAAAGUCCUGUAACUUAUCUGAUGAGAUUCCCCAAUAAAGCUAAAUUGGUGGAAUUAAAAAACUUUGGAAAAUUCACUCUGCUGGGGACAGGAGCAAUGGUUGAGGUUGAUUUCUGGAGUCCAAAUGAUAAAGCCAAAGGGAAGCUACACUCUGUGUGGAUAAAAAUGUGGGGAGUGCCUGACAACCUGAGACAUUACUUGGGGAUAUGUGAGAUUGGGUCUGCUUUGGGGCCAGUGGUGGAGGUGGAUAUUGAACACAUACACUCCAGGGAGGAGAUCAAAGUGAAGGUUGGAGUGAGAGACAUACACAAGAUACCAGCAGGAACUGAGAUAACCACCAGAGACUUACUCCUGUAUGAUAUAUACUUUGAGUUUGACUCAGUUGCUGAACAAGGGUGGUACAAUUUUGAGGAGGGGAACAAAAGGAAGAUGUUUGAAUAUCUGGAGCUAGAACACUUUGAGACACAAAGAGAAAAUGACAUGCAAAAGAAAAGCAAACAAACAGACACUGGGAAACAAAAUGUGAGCCUGGGGAGUCUGGGUCUGAAACAAUAUGAGCAGGUGGUUCUGAAAUAUGGGGAGAGUUGCCAAACCAAUGAUACUCUUGAAGAGAAUAAAAAGGCAGAGAUAGUUGCAGAGAUGCAGGGGAGAGAGGAGGACCUGUUAUCUAGGUUGUAGAAAGCAGAAGAGUUAGCUGCUAGACAGUCUGCACAGCUGAUGUUGGAAGAAAAAAGGAGAAAAGAAAUGGAGAUCAUUAGGAAAACUCUGGAAAAUGAGGUAAAGAGACAACAUGAGUUGCUCCAGAUUAAUCUGAAAGGAUGUGAAGAAGUAAAAGGGUCACAAUCUGGAGAUAAGAACACUGCUGAGGGAGAAGAAGUGGAAACUCUAGAUGAAGAUAUGGGGAUUGAGGACAAACAAGAGGAGGGAGGAGAGA